rnacentral:rRNA from 1 species
UACAGAGGUCUCAAGCGUUGUUCGGAUUCAUUGGGCGUAAAGGGUGCGUAGGCGGCUCGGUAAGUCGGGUGUGAAAUCUCGGGGCUUAACUCCGAAACUGCAUUCGAUACUGCCGUGCUUGAGGACUGGAGAGGAGACUGGAAUUUACGGUGUAGCGGUGAAAUGCGUAGAUAUCGUAAGGAAGACCAGUGGCGAAGGCGGGUCUCUGGACAGUUCCUGACGCUGAAGCACGAAGGCCAGGGGAGCAAACGGG